AGCCCUUCCCUCGUCCCGCGCACCUCUUUGAAGCUCCGCCUUCCAUCCUCUCCUCUCUUCAAGACCCCACCUUUAUCCCACGCCCCUCGUUGUGUAUUUUACUAAGCCACGCCCACAAUCCCUACCCUCCCCCCCUUAGUGGCCUUUCCCCAAAACCUCACUCUUGAGCCACGCCCCUCUCGGAGCUCGUCCCCCGCCCUUGGUCUUAGAGCUUGCAGCUCGGAAUUCCUGCUGUCACGCCCGGUCUUGCUGUGUGCCCCUAGGCUAAGGUCUGGGAUUCAGUAUCUGAACCGCCUUUUGGAGUUUUUUUGGGCAAGUAGCCGGGAUGGUUCAUUCACAAGAUGCUUAUCCAGCCAGCCAGGAGCUGAGGCGCGGAAAGCUGCCUUGCCGGAGUACAGAUCUCUGCACCACGCCUCCUACUCCUCCUCUGUAGGAACCUCCUCAAAUUCUUCACCUGAGUUUGUCACAUGCUACACGACGCAGGGACAAACCUGGGAUGAGCAGCUGACACCAAUGCAGUCUGGUUGUCUGGUUGACUUAACACCAUUGGCCACUCCAGAGAAGCCUGAGAAGAUUGCAAGGUGCCAGAACCUGAAACCAGAUCUGCCCCUUGGGAAAGGUGUGCUGUUCAGAACAGAAAUAUGGAUGUAUAUGACCAGAAGAUAUGCCUAAAAAAGACCCACAACAGCAUCAUUUGUAUCAUCUUGACCCAGAGCCAGGCCAGAUAUCCAGCAGAAGAAUGGACACGUGUUCUUGGAAUGCCACACAUUAGAAUCCUGCUCAGCAGUGAACCAACACUCCAUUGCUCUGCAGAUGCCAGGCAGAAGACCCAGGAAUGCAAAGUAGCCUCAGGCACAGGUGAACAAUGAAAGCUACACAGCACCACAGCCAGGAAGAAUGAAGUUGCUCAGAACAGAGCAGAGCUACACAGACAGGUUUAGCACAGACAACCGGCUCAGGUUGUAAAGCUGCCAUUUACUGCUGCCCCUGCCUCCCAAUGGCACAUCUGGAUCUCAGCUACCUUGUUUACAAAAUAGAAAUAAUACAGAGCUCCCAAGGUUUGUCUCAUAUGGAGAAUGAGUUUGGUAAGUAUUAACUAUGGUAAUAGUCACUUUACUUCAGGAGGGACAAGAGGUCAAGUUUAGCUCCCAUGAACAAUGUGGAAACCCACAUACACAGAACAGAAGUCAAAGGUAAAGCUGAAGACACAUUGAGAGAGACUCAGGCAUGUUUCUGAAUCCUGGGCCUAUGAUGCUCCAAGUUUGGAACAGAGACUCUGCAAGGAUCGAGAUGGGGAGAAGACGAGGAAAGAGAGGGAGUGGGGCCUGGUAGGAUAUUUUGCCAUAAAUAUGGCACACAAUAGUUUCUUUUGUCCUGGCACACUUCUUCCAUCGGGUUGUGAUGGAGUCUGUUUUAUAUUAAUUAAUUUUAUUGUGUGUGUGUGUGUGAGUGUUUUAUCUGUGAGCAUGUAUAUGCAGAAGUUAGAACAGGGUGUUAGAUACCCUGGAACUGGAGUUAGGGGUGUUUAUGAACUACUUUCUUGGUGCUAUAGAUGAGGAGAGCCAAGGUUCCCCAGCAGAGGGUCAGAGCCAAGACCCUCAGCAUGUCAGUGACUAUCACAACACAGACAAGCCCUGACUAAAAUCUUAUUGUCCAUUCAACUCACAGAAGCAUAAGAAACAAUAAGUAGUUUCUGUGUUACGUUUGAAGUUGGUUUGACAUGUUAUGUAGGAUGGUUACUGUGUCAAUUUGACAGAAUCAAUCUAGAAUCACCUGAAAGAUGGGCCUGUGGGGACGGUCUUGAUCAUAUUAACUGAGGAGAAGGGAUCUGCCCCCUGUGGGGGGCACCAUUCCCUGGCUGAAAUCCUGGAUCGUACAGAUGGAGAAAGAAGAUGAGCAGCUCCAGGUGUUCAAGGCUCUCUUCAGACUGCAGACACAUUGUGACCAGCUGCUUCAAGCUGCUCUGACUUCAUUGUCAUGACAAACUGGACCCUGAAACUGUCACCUAACAUAAGCCUCACCUUCCUUAAGUUGCUUUCUUGCCAGGGUACUUUAUCAAAGCACUGGAAAAGUAGAUGGCUUCCAUAGAUAACUGUCAUCAAAAUGAGCAUCUCACGGUGAGCAGCUGCUAAGGAGAGCACAGCUCAUGUGCAGCCGCUGUGGGGUCGGGGAGGAGAACGCUGGAGGGGAUGUGUAGAGAUGAUAGAACAGCGAAGACGAGCUGACAGAACAAUGGUGGGGUCGCAGCAGAAGGGCUGUGGGUGACCAUAAGUCCUGUACCAUGCUAGACUGGUGCCUGCUAUUCUUGUGAGCUUUGCAAGGAGAUUUUUCAUCACGGUGUGGAAAGUUCCUGUUGCCACAUUUUAACUUCCCGUGACAAGACACAACUUGCAUGCUACUGUGAUCAAUACCUGACAGGAAUUAACUGAAGGGUUCACUGUAUCUGAGGUGAUACAGCCCAUCGUAUGGGGAAGGGCAGUGUGGCAGGUGGUGCCCUGGUGGCAGCAGUGUGAUCUGGGGCUCUUUACCUCCUCACAUCUUGUCAGAACAGGAAGUGGAGAGUGAAUAGAAAGUGAGGGUGAGUCAAAAACAAUCUCAAAGACCACCCCCAGUAACCCAUUUCCUCCAGAGAGCCUCCACGUCACAAAAAAAAUCUUCCAAAACUGCAUCACUUGCUGGGGUCUAGGUGCCCAAACACCCGAGCCUAUGGGAGACAUUUCAUGAGACUGUGAAAUUCAAACUAUGAUACUGGGCUAAUAUACAGAGGGAAAACUAUCCUGUGAUCCCACUCACAAGGACACCUGUAGGAAUCAAGUUCUUUUAAGAGCAAGCAGGUGAAGACUGGAGGCUGUCAGGGUCUGGGGGGGC